CCGAGCUCGGUAACGUGGGCUUUCACCCAAGUGGGGGGCAAGGGCAUGGACUCGGUUGCUGGCAGCACAAAAAAAUUCCACAUUCCACAUUCCACGAUUUAAAAAAAAAAAAUCAAUGAAUUAAAAAAACGUUGCAGCAACUGGGACCAUUCCCUUUUCUUCAUUUUUCGUGUUUAAGCCACAAAUAAACUACAGAAAUUUAGCUAGCUAGAUUUGCAAUGUUUUUGUAUGUGUAUGUAAUCCCAUAGAUAGCAAGCGUCAUAUCAAAAUGUUUAUAUGGUAAGGGGUUACGAUUAGGUUUCUUAAUGUUUAUAUUGUCUGCUCUGUUUGAUAUUUCUUUUUUCUAUCAUUUUCAGUAGUUAAUCAAUACUUUUUCUAUUGAAUAAUAUUGUACAUGUUCUAGCUGCUGUGGAGUGAUUGUCUAACUUAGCAGAAUGGUUUGUUAAUUUAGUUGGUAAUCCUUUUUGGAAAUUGAAAAAUGUAAUGACAAUAAUGGAAGUAGUUCAUGACUUGCUAGAUUCUAUCCCACAUCGACAUCAUCAGUGGCUCCAAGUUGGUAAAUAAAGUUCAUUUCCUUAUCCUACGAAUGCUAGGCUCAGUAACAUGGGCUUGUACCCCAAGUGGGGGCAUUAAGGGUAUGGAAUCAGUUGCUUGCAACCCAAAAAAAUUCCACAUUCCAGUAUCUAAAAAAUAGACAUGAAUGAAUUCAAAAAUGUUGCAGCUGGUUGGACCAUUACCUUUUCUUCAUUUUUGCUGUUUAAGGCACAAUGAAACUGUAGAAAUUUAGCUAGCUAGCGUUUGCAAUAUUUUUGUUUGUGUUCAUAAUCCUGUAGAUAGCAAGCAGGUUCAUUUUUCCAGUUUAAGGCACAAUGAAACUAUAGAAAUUUUGCUAGCUAGUGUUUGCAAUAGUUUUGUAUGUAUACAUAAUCUCAUAGAUAGUAAGCAGGUGUUAUAUCACAAUGUUUAUAUGGUAAGGGAUUAUGAUUAGUUUUCUUAUUGUUUAUGUUGUCUGCUCUGCUUGAUAUUUCUUUUUUUCUGUCAUUUUCAGUGGUUAAUCAAUCCUUUUUCUGCAGAAUAAUGUUGUACAUAUUGUAGCUGCUGUGGUGUGAUUAUAUAAUUUAGCAGAAUGGUUUGUUAAUUUAGCUGAUAAUCCUUUUUGGAAAUUGAAAAAUGUAACGACAAUAAGGGAACUUGUUCAUGACUUGCUAGAUUCUAUCCCACAUCGACGCUAUCAGUGCCUCCAAUUCAGUAUAUAAAUUUCAUUUCCUUAUCCCACGAUUGCCGAGCUCGGUAACGUGGGCUUUCACCCAAGUGGGGGGCAAGGGCAUGGUCUCGGUUGCUGGCAGCACAAAAAUUCCACAUUCCACAUUCCACGAUCUAAAAAAUAAAAAUCAAUGAAUUAAAAAAAAACAUUGCAGCAACUGGGACCAUUCCCUUUUCUUCAUUUUUCCUGUGUAAGCCACAAAUAAACUGUAGAAAUUUAGCUGGCUAGCGUUUGAAAUAUUUUUGUAGGUGUGCAUAAUCCCAUAGAUAGCAAGCGUCAUAUCAAAAUGUUUAUAUGGUAAGGGGUUACGAUUAGGUUUCUUGUUGUUUAUAUUGUCUGCUCUGUUUGAUAUUUCUUUUUUCUAUCAUUUUUAGUGGUUAAUCAAUACUUUUUCUGUUGAAUAAUGUUGUAUGUGUUGUAGCUGCUGUGGGGUGAUUGUAUAACUUAAUAGAAUGGUUUGUUAAUUCAGCUGAUAAUCCUUUUUGGAAAUUGAAAAAUGUAAUGACAAUAACGGAAGUAGUUCAUGACUUGCUAGAUUCUAUUCCACAUCGACAUCAUCAGUGGCUCCAAUUUGGUAUAUAAAGUUCAUUUCCUUAUCCUACGAAUGCUAGGCUCGGUAAUGUGGGUUUGUACCCCGAGUGGGGGCAUUAAGGGUAUGGAAUCAAUUGCUUGCAACCCAAAAAAAUUCCACAUUCCACUAUCUAAAAAAUAGAAAUGAAUGAAUUCAAAAAUGUUGCAGCUGGUUGGACCAUUACCUCCUUCAUUUUUGCUGUUUAAGGCACAAUGAAACUGUAGAAAUUUAGCUAGCUAGCAUUUGCAGUGUUUUUGUAUGUGUACAUAAUCCCAUAGAUAGCAAACAGGUUCAUUUUUCCUACUUAAGCCACAAGGAAACUACAGAAAUUUGGCUAGCUAGUGUUUGCAAUAUUUUUGUAUGUAUACAUAAUCCCAUAGAUAGUAAGCAGGCGUCAUAUAACAAUGUUUAUAAGGUAAGGGGUUAUGAUUAGGUUUCUUAUUGUUUAUGUUGUCUGCUUUGUUUGAUAUUUCUUUUUUUUCUGUCAUAUUCGGUGGUUAAUCAAUACUUUUUCUGCUGAAUAAUGUUGUACAUAUUGUAGCUGCUGUGGAGUGAUUAUAUAAUUUACCAGAAUGGUUUGUUAAUUUAGCUGAUAAUCCUUUUUGGAAAUUGAAAAAUGUAACGACAAUAAGGGAACUAGUUCAUGACCUGCUAGAUUCUAUCCCACAUCGACGCAACCAGUGCCUCCAAUUCAGUAUAUAAAGUUCAUUUCCUUAUCCCACGAUCGCCGAGCUCGGUAAUGUGAGCUUUCACCCAAGUGGGGGGCAAGGGCAUGGACUCAGUUGCUGGCAGCCCAAAAAAAUUCCACAUUCCACGUUCCACGAUUUAAAAAAUAAAAAUCAAUGAAUUAAAAAAACGUUGCAGCAACUGGGACCAUUCCCUUUUCUUCAUUUUUCCUGUUUAAGCCACAAUUAAACUAUAGAAAUUUAGCUAGCUUGCGCUUGCAAUAUUUUUGUAUGUGUGCAUAAUUCUAUAGAUAGCAAGAGUCAUAUCACAAUGUUUAUAUGGUAAGGGGUUACGAUUAGGUUUCUUAUUGUUGAUAUUGUCUGCUCUGUUUGAUAUUUCUUUUUUUAAUCAUUUUCAGUAGUUAAUCAAUACUUUUUCUGUUGAAUAAUGUUGUACGUGUUGUAGCUGCUGUGGAGUGAUUGUCUAACUUGACAGAAUGGUUUGUUAAUUUAGCUGAUAAUCCUUUUUCAAAAUUAAAAAAUGUAAUGACAAUAACGGAAGUAGUUCAUGACUUGCUAGAUUCUAUCCCACAUCGACAUCAUCAGUGGCUCCAAUUUGGUAUUUAAAGUUCAUUUCCUUAUCCUUCAAUCGCCGGGCUCAGUAACGUGGGCUUGUCACCUGAGUGGGGGCAUUAAGGGUAUGGAAUCAGUUGCUUGCUACCCAAAAAAAUUCCACAUUCCACUAUCGAAAAAAUAGAAAUGAAUGAAUUCAAAAAUGUUGCGGCAACUGGGACCAUUCCCUUUUCUUCAUUUUUCCUGUUUAAGCCAGAAUGAAACUAUAGAAAUUUAGCUAGCUAGCGUUUGCAAUAUUUUUGUAUGUGCUCAUAAUCCAAUAGAUAGCAAGCAGGUUCAUUUUUCCUGUUUGAGCUACAAUGAAACUAUAGAAAUUUAGCUAGCUAGUGUUUGCAAUAUUUUGGUAUGUAUGCAUAAUCCCAUAGAUAGUAAGCAGGUGUCAUAUCACAAUGUUUAUAUGGUAAGGGGUUACGAUUGGGUUUCUUAUUGCACAUGUUGUCUGCUCUGCUUGAUAUUUCUUUUUUUCUGUCAUUUUCAGUGGAAUCAACACUUUUUUUGUUGAAUAAUAUUGUACAUAUUGUAGCUGCUGUGGAGUGAUUAUAUAAUUUACCAGAAUGGUUUGUUAAUUUAGCUGAUAAUCCUUUUUGGAAAUUGAAAAAUGUGACAACAAUUAGGGAACUAGUUCAUGACUUGCUAGAUUGUAUCCCACAUCAACGCUAUCAGUGCCUCCAAUUCAGUAUAUAAAGUUCAUUUCCUUAUCCCAUGAUCGCCGAGCUCGGUAACGUGGGCUUUCACCCAAGUGGGGGGCAAGGGCAUGGACUCGGUUGCUGGCAGCCCAAAAAAAUUCCACAUUCCACUAUGUAAAAAAUAGAAACAAUGAAUUAAAAAAAUGUUGCCGCAACUGGGACCAUUCCCUUUUCUUCGUUUUUCCUGUUUAAGCAUAAAAAAAACUAUAGAAAUUUAGCUAGCUGGCGUUUGCAAUAUUUUUGUAUGUGUACAUGAUCACAUAGAUAGCAAGCCGGUGUCAUAUCACAAUGUUUAUAUGGUAUGGGGUUGCGAUUAGGUUUCUUAUUGUUUGUGUUGUCUGCUCUGUGUGAUAUUUAUUGAUUUUUUCUAUCAUUUUCAGUGUUUAAUCAAUACUUUUUCUGUUGAAUAAUGUUGUAUGUACAUGUUGUAGCUGCUGUGAAGUGAUUAUCUAAUCUAACAGAAUGGUUGUUAAUUUAGCUGAUAAUCCUUUUUGGAAAUUGAAAAAUGUAAUGACAAUAACGGAAGCAAUUCAUGACCUGCUAGAUUCUAUCCCAUAUCAACAUUAUCAAUGCCUCCAAUUCAGUAUAUAAAAUUCAUUUCCUUAACCUACGAUCGCUGGGCUUGGUAAUGUGGGCUUGUCACCCGAGUGGGGGCAUUAAGGGUAUGGAAUCAGUUGCUUGCAACCCAAAAACUCCACAUUCCACUAUCUAAAAAAUAGAAAUGAAUAAAUCAAAAAUUGUUGCAGCAACUGGGACCAUUCCCUUUUCCUCAUUUUUCCUUUUUAAGUCUCAAAGAAGCUAUAGAAAUUUAGCUAGCUAGCUGAGAAGUGUUUUGGGAAAUCCUAACUCCAUUCUGUUGUUUUAAUUGCUAUUAGGGGCAAUCCCCUAAUUUGUUUCUUUCUGAUCCUAGUGGUUGAUAUGCUCAUCUUCAGGGAGAUUUUAAAGUGCAAGAGGAUAAAAAGCAUAGGGCAAAGUUUCAAUCUUUAGGAAAUUCUGAGAAGAAGCUCCAAUUCUUUUCAGCUCGUCAAAUAGCAUGCCGCUUACUCGGUAGUAGAGGAUAUCUCUGUCAGAAGGUACAUCUGUUAUUUCUUUUUUCUCAUAGUGAUGGUAAGUUGGAGAACCAACUAUUGUCUCGGUGUUCCUUCCCAUAACCCAUAAAUUGUCUCUGCAUUUCAUCUGUGCUCAGUUGCAAAUUCAGUCUUUUCCUGUCUGUCUAAUUGCUUAGUGCUGGCUUCCCAUGGAAGAUUGCAUGUGUUCAAGACUUCUGCCUUUUCCCCUUUGGCAUCGGAUACGUUUUUGGUUGUAUAUGCAUCCAAAGGUUCAUAUUCUUCUCGUUUUCAUUUUCUUUCCCUAGUUACAUAUAUGCAUUACAUGAGGAUCAGCUAAGGACUUUAUUGUUCUUCUGUAGGAUUUUUUACGACAGAACAACACGGGAAAGUUGUUAUGUCAAGUGUUUGGCACCCAUGCUGCAACUUUGUGUCUCUUUGGCAUUUCUGAACUUGAAGAAAUCAUGUGGAGUGCAUUGAACUUUUCAGGUUAAAUCAUGGUUUAAUUGGUAAUAUUUUGAAGAUGCAUCUCCUCAUCUUUGAUUCACUAUGUUGUACUAGUAUUAGAUCUGUAAGGCAUGAGUGUCAAAGCCAUGACUAUUUAAAUGCACAAUGGUCUUUGUAGUUCAUUUUUUGACUUCGUAGUUUGCUCUACAUGUUCGGCUUCCUACUGCAAACACUUCACAUUGUUGAAACUGCUUGAUUUCUUCUGCAUGCAACUGACAAUCUCUGAAAACUUUCUUUCCCAAUAAUUAUUGUAAGGCUCACUUUGUUUACAAUCAUAAUAGACCUUGUAUUUUCUGAUUCCACUCCCUUGAGCCUCUAAAUUAAUUUUUACCUCCUUAAAAAAAUAAAUUAGCAAAGAGUUUGUGGCAAAAUUUGUUGCUAUAAAAGUUUGACAGCUAAAGUUGCUUUGUGAAAAACCUAUAGGAAUAAUCAACUAAGUGGAGCCUCAGAUGAGCAACAGAAAGAGGAACAGAUUAUUAAUUAAAUAAUUUAUUAUGCAUGCCUACUGGGUAGUAUACAACUCUGGGAUAUUUGAGGGAAAAUUGGAAUUCCAUCCUUUUUUUUAACUCAAUUAACUUGAGAAGUUGAGUCUAAUUAACUCGAAUAGAUCACAUAGCUGAUUGUAACAAAUUGAGUUUGAGAAGGUAUGCACAGUAUUCUGAUGGAACAUCGGUUACUUUCUCUGUAAUCUGAGAUACCAUUUCCCAAUUUGAAAGGAUUACAUCCUUACUUCUGCAGAAGGGAAUAUAUAUUUAGUGAUAAUUGGGAUUCAUUUCGUAUAAAACUAACUGGUUGAAUUUGAUCUCUUUAACGUAAUUGAAUAAGGUGUAAAAGACGGAGAUCUGGAGAUGAAAUCUUGCUACAAUUAAAAUUGUUAUGCCAUGUUUUUGACUUUCUAAUAUAACCUAGAAUUACGUCAAAGCUAUGUGGGACUAAGGUCUUGGCCAAUUUAAUGGAUUAUUUAGAUAUGAGAAAUAGACUUAGCUAAAACAACUACAGUAUAUGAAAUAGCCUAUUAUGCUAUUUUUUGCAUUAUUAUUUGUUAUGAAUAAUGCCAGUUUUUAACGUUAAUGCAUAUCCAUGUUUAGUUUCAUGUUCAUUUGCUACUUUAAGACUUUAAAGUUUAUGCCUGUGAGUUUCUGAAGUGCAUUGUGUAUUCUUCAGGGAGAAGAAAUGUUUGGUGUCUCUACCCUAAUAAGAAUGCUAUGCCGAUGUCUGUUCAGGACACAUUCAUUCAAAAUUCCUCCAGGGAUCAUCAUUCUGAACAGAAUUCGGUAAUCCUUCUAUAGUCGCAUGAAUACAGAAAAAGAGUGAAUUUCUUGUAUUUUUUUUGGUUGUCAAAUCUUGAUUGGUUCAAACGUAGUAGAACCUUCAUUAAGUUUGCGAUCUACUAAUUAACAAAUUAAGUUUGUGAUCUUUAGUUUUAAGAUUGCAUUUAACAUGGUAUGUUCUUCUUCUCCACAAAAUGCAUCAAAAGAAAAACAAAUUGAAAUGAUUUUCAGCUCAAGUCUCAGGCUUAAGGUUGAUUGAUUAAGCCUCUGGACAAAAAAAUCAUUUCUCAUAUUCCUCAUAUGAAACAUGUUAUCCUUGUUCUCAAUCAUUUCCUGCUUUAAAAAAAAAAUUAAAUUAUGAGUUUUGUAUCAUUGUAAUUUUUUUUUCUGGUCCUUUGCUGAUUUGAUGCACAUAAAUAGAAAUUUAGUGCUGAACAAAAAUUGUUCUAGCUGACUGUGCAAGUUGGAAUGUGAAAGUUUUAUGUGACUCUAGGUUUGGAACUGCAUAGGUGCAUGAAGUACAGUAUUGUGUAAUUAGUUGGUUACAUUAGCUCAUUGAAGCAAUUUAAACUUUUGGAGAGGAGAAUAAAUUGAUUUAUCUAAGAAAUUUGAUGUUGAUGAACAAAAGAUGAUUUUACAGUAAAUGGUGAUCUACUUCGUGAAUACUACAUGUUAUUCAAUUUAACUGUUUACUAUACUUGCAACCUUGAAUUCAACUGAAUAUUUUCAUGAAAUUUUCUGAAGCCACAGAAGUGCUCAAUAUCAAGAAUCUUUGAACCCGGUACAUUUUUUAGAGUCCUUGUCAGUAAAUGUUCUGUUUGUUUAGGAUAUACCUAUCGUAAGUGUCACAUGAGAUAAUAACAUCUUAAACUUAAGAAAAUAUGCUCAAGUUAUAUCAGAAAAUUAUAACAUUAUAAGAGAAGACGACAUCUUAACACAAUGCUCUGUAAUAGUGUACUGUUUUGGCAUUGUAAACAGUUAUUUGAUUUAGGCUCUGAAGUUUUCAAUUGUAGUUAUCCCAUAGAGUUAGUAAAAAUUUUACAUGAUGAUAGGAAGGUAACUCUAACUCAUAGAGGUUAGAUUUACUCCCGAGAACUCAUAUGUAUAUUUACUGGGUUCUUCCCUACUUUUGAAUUAUAUUAAAGCUUACCAUUUCCCCAAAAAAAAGUUAUGUGAUUUCAACUCUCGCAAAUGGAUUAUGGAUGCCUAUCUUUUUGUGGUUUUACGCAUCUUUGGUCAUAGGGAGGAGAUGGAGAGGAUUAAUUGAGUGCCACAUUCUGUUUCUGUUGGAUUAGCACGAAAUUUAGAUAUAAAGAAGCAUGAAUAUCAUUCAGGCUGACGUCCUCAAAUUUGUCGAAUUAGUUGAGCGUACAGAAUUAAGUAAUGCAGUAUAUGUGCAAGAUAUUCAGAUUUCCACAUCGGAGCUUGGUAUUUGAUCAGUCCCCUAAUUUUAGUUCAUGGUUUAAUUCCAAAAGAUUCAAUUUUCUAUUCCUCAAAAAAUGGAGUGUCAAGUCCUGACUAGUUUGGGUGGACAAAAGUGGAUUGGUAAGUUGAAGAUUCUACUUAUAUGUGUCUAUGAAUUCCUGCCCUCACACGCAUUGAAUGCUUAUAGCCCCUUUGUCUGUGUGUUCAGGUAGCUUAAACUUUAGCCCAUACAAAGAAGACUGGCUUCGUUUCAAUACGUUAACCUUCAAUUCUUCUGACUCUUCUAGGAUAUUGAUUUGAAGGUUGUGUGACUAUGCAGGUACUUGGAGAUGAAAGAAUUAAUUUUAUUUUGAUUGAUGGUACAUGGAGCAAUUCCCAAGCAAUGUUCAAGCGUUUAAAGGUAAACCAGAAAUACAAUUGGGGUCUGACCUCCUUUUAUUUUCUAUCACACGUCCAUGGGGCUAUGACUAAGCAUUCUUGUCUCAGAUGGGAGACAAGAAAAAGGAAAAGAGGAAAGAAAUCUAGUGGAGCAACCACAAGUUCAUUGUCUUGUAGGUUAUAUAUUUUUCUUGAGUUAAGUUAUACAGAUAUAAGCAUAUGUGUUUUCACUUUGAAAUGGAAAGGUUCCUAGUAAAUAGUUCAUUUACAACAACAGUAAGAAUUAAAUGCCUUGACAUCUGGAAGUGCCACAGAUUCUGAAACUCUUCUGUAAUAUGUAGUUUUGAAAUCCCAUCAUUCCUUUGGUGGACAUAAAUGGAUAGAGGUUAUGAAUUACCUUCUAAUUAAGCAAAUUUGUUUCCUGUUACACCAGUUCCAAGUUAUAAAUACGACACAUGCAAGCAGGUACACAUGAAAUGUUGAAUCUUACAAGAAAGUAAAGUAGUUCUUCUCUGAAUGAAUUAGUUACAAGUUUUUGUCAUGCUUCUCUUCAAUACAUAUAUAUCUUCAUUUUUGUUGUGGAUAUACUUUGUGGAUUUGGUAGAUUGUAACUCGACUGGCUUCGCUUGUUUGUUUUGUAAUACCCAAUGUAUAUUUACGAAUCUGACUCUUGUUUUCAAGUUAUUGACACAUGCGGUAUUUGAACUAUGCCUAAGAGUGUUUAUGGGUAUCAAAUAUCAGACACAUCUCAAGCAAAAAAUCAGUUUGAGGAUCCUGUUUUUCCAAUUUCAUGCUGCAUUGCAAAAGAUGAGCGUUGUAUGGAUCAGUCUAGUGAUGUAGUAGUGCAUCCUACUCAACAUUUACCUUGAACAUUGAUGUGCAGGAUAAAGCACAGGUAGUUUGGGGAGAAGACCUUCCUUGCAUCUCUCUGAAUGCAGGGGUAUCUCUAAUGCACAAACUUAGGCAAGAUUCUUCAUGCAAAUGCUCAUCUCGUGAUAUAUUUGACUUGCAUGCUUUAAUAGUUUAUUCUUGUUUGCCAAUUUAAUGCCACCGCGAUUAAGGUUCAAUUUCUUUCUUGUCUGAUAGCAGACCACAACCCUCAUGGGACCGUACCUGCACAGCAGCAGCAGCAGUUGGUCUCCUUUAUGAGCUUCAUCUUGUUCCUGAGUUCAGCUCUCAUGGACUGGAUAGUCAGGCUGAAGCUAUCGAAGAUGCUUUAGAGAUUCUGUUUGAAUCACUUACAGCUCGAAGACUUCGUAUGGGGAGGUCCAUCAGCCGAAAGGAGAGACAUUACAGCAACCUCUGCUAGAAACAAGCAUUUCUUCUACAAUUUUGGCGGAGACUUUUUCCCUUCAAUUGAGGCAGCGCCUGCAUACUAACUGAUUAGGUUAUAAGAGGUGAGAUCCUUGCUAAUUUCUAGUAUUACAGAAAGGAAAUACAAAGUGACUGAGAUCAAAGAACUUCGGUGGCCGGGCAGUGAUUUUAUCAGACUAUACAGAUUCAGAUUUUUUUGCACAAUGUUUUGAUGCUGAAAUUUCAGACACGUUUUUGGACAUAUGCCAGAUGGUUGUGAUGCAAUGCUAAGUACUUGGACGCAAAGCGGAUGAUCGAAAAAAUAUGGUAUUCGCUUUUCCCACAUUUUGAACUUGAAAGCAAGCUAUUUAUUAUGCUUUGGAUUUGUUAAAAGGAACCAUUUUGCUUGUAUGUAUAAUGUAUUUCAAUUCUGAACUCACUGAUGUAUGUUUACGUGAUUAUAUCUCAAGAAUUUAGUUUCUUGAACUAGUCCUAUAUUUGGCUGUCCUGCUACUCUUAGUCUUACGGAUUAAAAGACUGAUAGAAAGAAUUAAUGUAUUAUUGGCUCUGAAUGAUAAAGUGAAGUUAAUUAUGGAGUUUGGGUUAAAGAUGGAUGGAAGAAAUGGUGGCCUGUGUUUCCUUUCAUUAUCAAACUGUUUGUUAACAAGCGAGACAAAAUGGUUCAUGUAUGCUAAAAGUUCAGUGGAGUUUAUAUCCAAAUUUUGCCUAUGCAUUGGGGUAUCUUGUGAAGUUUGCCAGAUGUGCACCAAAAAGUGGUAAAAUGACAACAUAUAAAUGUCAAUUGAUACAAAAAUUUAGGAUCAAAUUAUGAUUAAUGGAUACUAAUACUAGUGUAGGGAUGAAUAAGGAAAUGAAAACUGUCCAAUAAUAACAAAUUCUUUACUUUAUCAUAUUAAUUUAUUUUGGGCGGAUAGCGGGAGUCGAACCCGCGUCUUCUCCUUGGUAAAGAGAAAUUUUACCAUUCGACCAUAUCCGCACUUUCCGUUCUUGAUAUAUAAUAUGUCCACACAAUAUUAAAUUAAUAAAAUUAAUAUAUACCCGGAUCAUUUUUAUAUAGUGUCGGACCAGAUACUCUCCUAAGGGCGAUUCCAAUUAUUUUAAAUUAUUUUAUUAAUUGUAUUUUUUCAUCAUUCAAGAAGUUUGCAAGAAGUUUGACCCCCCCCCCCUAAUUUUUUCUUUAUUUGCAUUUUCAUCAUUUUCUUUAUUUGCAUUUAUUUGCAAGAAGUUUACAUGAUCAGUAUAAUGUUGUCCACUACUAUGUUUUUAGGAAAUUAAUCGAAGUUAUUUAUAAAAUUGGGAUGGUGUAUUAAUACAAACAAACUUCAUUACCAUGAAUAUUAUCUACCUUAAACUUUCACUAUGCAUUCGUUUAACGGUUCACCACCAUCACCUCUUAUUAACCUUGAAUUGCACCAUUAAUUUAUUUCCAAUUGAGGUUAAUUGGGGGAAGAGAUGGGUUAGAUGGUUCAGAGGGAACGAGUGUAAGUGCGAGAUUGCGAAUUCAAGUCCUUCCACUUACACUAAAGAAAGAUAAAAUUGAGGAUAAUAAGCAUAAGAACGUAGAAACAUAGCAAAGUAUAUAACAAAAGUUGAAAUUUUGUGAUGCAUUGGUACAAAUUUGUAUUAGCACAAGACUUGCAUAGAGUUUCGAAAUUAAACUUUCAAACUAAGGCUAAUGGGCAUAAGAUAAUUCUAAAAUAUGCCUAAUUUAUCAUCAAUCAUGCAUAAUAAUAAUAAUAAAAGAACUUGUAUAAAAUGUAUUGAAAUUAUAUAUUUAUGUGACACUAUAAGUUGUUUACCUGUAUAAGAAUUGCCGAAACGAAUAUCAAAUUGACGUUAAAAAAAAUAUACAUAAUUUAUUGUAACUGAUGCAUAAAAGAGUGAUACAAAAAUGGAUUGAAAGUAUUAUAAACUGGCCCGAAAAUCAAAAUGUCAAUAUGAUCCUUGUUUAGAAGUUUUUAACCAAAUAAAACAAAAGAGGGAUUCCCCACGUAUCCAACAACUAAUAUACUUCUUUGCUACUGCCAAACAAGGUUCCUCCUCCAUCCAUCCAUUCAUCCCCUUCCAUCCCUUCUCCGCUUCUCUCUCUUCCAUUUUCCUGCCAUUUUUUUACUUUCCACAAAAAUGACACCCCUACAGAUGCAGGCAGCUGCUACAUUCCAACAUUUUCUUGUCUCUUUCUUUUUCACCAUUUUCAUAACGAGACUGGACAAAACUGAUCGUUGAACAGAAGAGAAACAAUGGGGUCUAAUCCAUCUCUAAUGUUGUUUCUCUUCUUUCUUCUUGUUGGAUUGGCCUCUUCAUCCUACAUUUCAAGUGAGAAUUGUUAUGGCAUUUAUGUAUACCAUGUUGAUUUUUUUUUUCUAAUCUAAUUUCUGUUUAAUAUAUCUGAAACUUUCGUUCUAUGUUAGAUCAUGCAUUGGAGCCUAGCGGAUUGAGAGGUCGUACCCUUCUUCAAGCAAAAGCAUGUGAGAUUCUUUCUCUCCUUUAUUCAUUUUUGCACCCUGGAUAUUGUUGGGAAUGAAGAAAUAAAUUAAGUUUCAAAAUCAUUUUUAUCCUUGCCACAAUUUCAUGGUUGUUCCUUGUGAGGGCAUCCUUGAUUAAACUUUUAUUUUGACAUCUUAAAAUUUAAAUUUCUGAAUCCCAGAAUUAUUCCUUUGUUAUAUCCUUUUGAAUGUUAGUUAAUUCUACAGAAUUUCUUAGUCCUCCUAAAUUAUGAGCAAUAAAGUUAAUACUUCUACAUGUUAUCCAUGGAUUUAGCUUCAAUCUUGCAUUUCUUUCACUUAGGUAAAUCAUUCCAACAAAUUAACUCAUAUGCUGCCUACAUUCUUUUCAUUAUUUAUGUUUAAAAGAAUCCAACUAGGUUCGGUUACAUGUGGAGAAACAAUUUACUUUAAGUUAAAAAAAUUCAUAAUAUCAGAAAAAAAAAAGCAUAUGAAUGCAGAUAACUGCAUGAACAGAAAAAUUACCAUUUUAGUGAUCUAUCCAUGUUUCUUCAAGAUUGACAUAAUUCAAGUUGUUUUUCUCUGCCUAAAGAACCAUAGGUGGUCAUUUCUACAUGCCCUUAUCAGGAAAACAAAAGAGAAAAGGAAAAGUUUUAUUUAAUAGCUAAGCCUUCCAUUCUACAAGAAUUAUUGAACACUGAAAAUUCUUGGAAAAUGUAUGCUAAAACUUUCUGCAAUCAUGAAACUUUUCAGCUUGCCCUGUAAACUUUGAAGCUCAGAACUACACAAUCAUCACUAGCCAAUGCAAAGGGCCGAAUUACUCUCCAAAACUCUGCUGCGAUGCCUUCAAGGAAUUCGCCUGCCCUUUUGCUGAUCAAGUGAAUGACAUGAAAAACGAUUGUGCAUCAACCAUGUUCAGUUACAUUAACAUGUAUGGACAUUAUCCUCCUGGACUUUUUGCGAAUUUUUGCAAGGAUGGCGCCCAGGGCCUUGAAUGUGCAUCUGCAGAAGCAGAAAGUCCCAAGAAAAAUGGGGCGCUGAAAACUGCUCAAUCAACUGUGCUGGUGCUGGCAGCUGGUUUCUUGACGUUUUUGUUGAAUGCCUUCUAAAACUCAAGAACAGAAAUCGAAAAUGUGCACCUUUUAAUUACUAGUUCAGACAUUGAUAUCCUCCGAGUUUAUAUAUAAGUAAUAUUUAUCUUGAGAUUGUAACGUUUUUUGUGCUCUGAUCAUUCUCUUGGACAAUAUUGAGCCUAAUUCGUGCUGCUCGAAACAUAUUAUUGUUCUUCAGGCUUUUCGAGCAAUAAAAUUAAGUUAUAACUCACAAUUUUCAACAACAUUACAAUCUAAUUCACGAUUAACGAUUAACCACGUUUGGUGAGACUUGAACCUAAAACUAGUAAAAUUUUCGUGACACAUAAAUCUUGGAGUUGCAGAGCAGGAUAAUCAGAUUACAAUAAGUUAGCUCAAAUUUGUAGGAUAAUUUCAGAAACCUCCCUUGAGAUUUCUGACUAUUUCACUGACCUCCCUCUAGAUUUCGAGAAUUACACUAACGUCCCUUGAAGUUAAUUAUCUUGUAACAUUUAAAUCCAACCAAUAAUUAAAAAGUGAUAUUAGGAGAGAGAAAAUAAUAUGAUUCCAUCAUUGUCCCUCAUCUACUACAUUAUUUAAUUAAUUUAACACUAACACAUACAUUAAAGAAAAACACUACAAUUUGUUGUUUAUCAUUAGGGAUAAAAUCACAUAUAGCAUCAAAUAAUAGUAUAUCAUUUUAUAUUUUUCACUUAAUAUAAGAUCCAAAUUUCUCUUUUCAAUUACAUACUCAUUGUCAAACACAAUUAAUAACAAAUAAAAAAAAA
rnacentral:lncRNA from 1 species